rnacentral:rRNA from 1 species
GAUGAACGCUGGCGGAAUGCUUUACACAUGCAAGUCGAACGAUGAACCUUAGCUUGCUAAGGGGAUUAGUGGCGAACGGGUGAGUAAUGUAUCGGAACGUAUCCAAUAAUGGGGGAUAACUAGUCGAAAGAUUAGCUAAUACCGCAUACGUCCUACGGGAGAAAGCUAGGGACCUUCGGGCCUGGCGUUAAUGGAGCGGCCGAUAUCUGAUUAGCUAGUUGGUGGGGUAAAGGCUCACCAAGGCGACGAUCAGUAGCUGGUCUGAGAGGACGACCAGCCACACUGGAACUGAGACACGGUCCAGACUCCUACGGGAGGCAGCAGUGGGGAAUUUUGGACAAUGGGCGAAAGCCUGAUCCAGCCAUUCCGCGUGAGUGAAGAAGGCCUUCGGGUUGUAAAGCUCUUUCGCAAGAGGAGAAAACUUAAGCUCUAACAUAGCUUGAGGUUGACGGUACCUUGAUAAGAAGCACCGGCUAACUACGUGCCAGCAGCCGCCGCUG